rnacentral:rRNA from 1 species
AAAACAUGUCUAUUUGAAGUUAUAAAUGGUCUGGCCUGCCCACUGAUAAAAUGAAGAUAUUAAAGGGCCGCGGUAUCCUGACCGUGCAAAGGUAGCAUAAUCAUUAGUUCUUUAAUUGGGAGCUUGUAUGAAGGGUCUGACAAAGGAAUGACUGUCUUUGUUAUAUGGUUUGAAUUUAACUUUUAAGUGAAAAGGCUUAAAUAAUUCAGGAGGACGAUAAGACCCUAUAAAGCUUUAUAUAUAUUAAUUUAAAUAAAUUGAAUUAUUAAAUAAAAAUUUAUGUUGAUUGUUAUAUUUUAUUGGGGUGAUAUAAAUAUAAAUUGUAUUAACUGUUUAAUUAGAGUACAUUGAAUAAAUGAGUUUGUAAAUGAAUAGAUCCUUUAUUUAAAGAUUAGAAGAUUAAGUUACUUUAGGGAUAACAGCGUAAUUUUUUUUAAGAGUUCAUAUCGAAAAAAGAGUUUGCGACCUCGAUGUUGAAUUAAAAUGUCUAUAUGGAGCAGCUGAUAUAUAAGAAGGUCUGUUCGACCUUUAAAUUUUUACAUGA